UACGUAGGUGGCAAGCGUUGUUCGGAAUUAUUGGGCGUAAAGGGCGCGUAGGCGGUUUUGUAAGUCAGCUGUGAAAGCCCGGGGCUCAACCCCGGAGGGUCGGCUGAUACUGCAGGACUAGAGUACGGAAGAGGUAGCUGGAAUUCCCGGUGUAGCGGUGAAAUGCGCAGAUAUCGGGAAGAACACCCGUGGCGAAGGCGGUUCUCUGGGACGGUACUGACGCUGAGACGCGAAAGCGUGGGGAGCGAACAGG
rnacentral:rRNA from 1 species